rnacentral:lncRNA from 1 species
AAUGUUGACAUUCUUUUCCUUUGAAUACAUGAACACGCAUAAUGCAUUCGUAAUCCAUCUCUAGCUUACGGUUAAAUUGAAUGUGACAUGAAUACGGAUACAAUGGGCUCGAAUAAUAAACUUGCAUGUGAAUAAUUCAUCAUCGAUGUUUCUUAGUUUAUUUUGACAAAAUUAAACCAUACUGGCUGCUAGAGUAAAUUAUUAUUUCACUAUGUCACUUUCAUUAAUGAUUGAACAAAAACAAAUCACAUUUUAAUUGUUUUAUAUAUCUCGUAACUAGUGCCCC